UCCGAUAUGGUGUAGUGGCUAACAUUAUCGCCUCUCAUGAGAAAGUGUCGCGAUAGCCCGGGGUUCGAUUCCCCGUGUCGGAA